UCCAGACUCCUACGGGAGGCAGCAGUGAGGAAUAUUGGUCAAUGGUCGGGAGACUGAACCAGCCAAGCCGCGUGAGGGAUGAAGGUACAGAGUAUCGUAAACCUCUUUUGUCAGGGAACAAAGGCGGGGACGCGUCCCCGGAUGAGUGUACCUGAAGAAAAAGCAUCGGCUAACUCCGUGCCAGCAGCCGCGGUAAUACGGAGGAUGCGAGCGUUAUCCGGGUUUAUUGGGUUUAAAGGGUGCGCAGGCGGCGGCUGUAGAGACGGGGGAAAACGCGGGGGCCCCCCCCCCGCCCCGCCGUUGAAACUGGCAGUCUCGAGUUGGAGAGAAGUAUGCGGAAUGCGCGGUGUAGCGGUGAAAUGCAUAGAUAUCGCGCAGAACUCCGAUUGCGAAGGCAGCAUGCCGGCUCCACACUGACGCUGAGGCACGAAAGCGUGGGUAUCGAACAGGAUUAGAUACCCGGGUAU
rnacentral:rRNA from 1 species